UACGUAGGGGGCCAGCGUUGCUCGGAAUUACUGGGCGUAAAGGGUCCGUAGGCGGUGUGGCAAGUCGGGAGUGAAAUCUCUGGGCUUAACUCAGAGGCUGCUUCCGAAACUGCCGUGCUAGAGUGUGAGAGAGGCGAGUGGAAUUGCGGGUGUAGCGGUGAAAUGCGUAGAUAUCCGCAGGAACAUCCGAGGCGAAAGCGGCUCGCUGGAUCACAACUGACGCUGAGGGACGAAAGCUAGGGGAGCAAACAGGAUUAGAUACCCUGGUAGUCCUAGCCCUAAACCAUCAGGACUUGGGGUUUGCCCUGUACGGGGCAAGUCCCGUAGCUAACGCGUUAAGUCCUGCGCCUGGGGAGUACGGUCGCAAGACUGAA
rnacentral:rRNA from 1 species